rnacentral:rRNA from 1 species
GGUCAAGUUAUUAAGGGUGCAGGGCGGAUGCCUUGGCACUAGGAGCCGAUGAAGGACGUGAUAAGCUGCGAUAAGCUUCGGGGAGUUGCACGUAAACUUUGAUCCGAAGAUUUCCGAAUGAGGAAACUCACUUAGAGUAAUGUCUAAGUAUCAUUAAGUGAAUACAUAGCUUAAUGAGGGGAACUCAGGGAACUGAAACAUCUAAGUACCUGAAGGAAGAGAAAGAAAUUCGAUUCCGUAAGUAGCGGCGAGCGAACGCGGAUUAGCCCAAACCAAUAAAGUUUUCUUUAUUGGGGUUGCGGACAUAUCAUAACGAAGAGGUAUCGUAA